GCUCAGGAUGAACGCUGGCGGCGUGCCUAACACAUGCAAGUCGAACGAAGCAAUUAAGAUGAAGUUUUCGGAUGGAAUCUUGAUUGACUGAGUGGCGGACGGGUGAGUAACGCGUGGAUAACCUGCCUCACACUGGGGGAUAACAGUUAGAAAUGACUGCUAAUACCGCAUAAGCGCACAGUGCCGCAUGGCAGUGUGUGAAAAACUCCGGUGGUGUGAGAUGGAUCCGCGUCUGAUUAGCCAGUUGGCGGGGUAACGGCCCACCAAAGCGACGAUCAGUAGCCGACCUGAGAGGGUGACCGGCCACAUUGGGACUGAGACACGGCCCAAACUCCUACGGGAGGCAGCAGUA
rnacentral:rRNA from 1 species